CUGCAGCUAACUAAGCCGACCAUGCUCCUUUCCUCAUGGGCAUCUGCUGUGUAGUGGCUGCAAACUGCAACCUCCUUGGUAGUGUAUGCGGCCUGUUGCUUGUAUGGGUUGUUCUAAGGGACUUUGGAGACAUUC
ensembl:snoRNA SNORA70 Small nucleolar RNA SNORA70